rnacentral:lncRNA from 10 species
AUCUUAAUUUUACACUUAUUUUUUAAAUUAAGAUGCUUUUAUUUCCUGACAACCAUUUGAAAAUCAUUUAAAUUUUAAAUAUGAGAUUUCUUUAGUUAUUAAAAGUAUUUAAUUCUACACCUUUAAAAUGGAUUACAAACUUUCCACCCAAAUUUUUUUAUUUCUCAAUUCUUUUUACAAAUUGAAUGAUUGUAUUGCAUAUAUGUCCUUGUAAAUCAAUACUUUUUACUCAAGCAAAAGUUUCUAAUUUUAGUAGGCAACAAAAGGAGUUUGAACAAACAACUUUGAAGUCAGAUCUUCUAACUCCCAGGACUGGGUGUUCAAAUUGCCACGAAAAAAAAAAAAUAAAUAAAUAAAUAAAAAUAAACUUUUAAUGUUUAGGGCACAACAUAGCACAUUACAAAACUGAUAUAGUUUUAGCACACAGACCAUGAACUUAUUUUUUAAAACUAAGAUUGCUAAGAUAUUCUCCACUAUUCUCCUAGCUACAAAGGGCUACCUGAGCAGUCUUUAGAUUCAUACUCACCCCAAACUGAUAUAGACUAUUCAGGUAUGAUGUAUCACACAGAAAAAAAUACAUUUUUAUAUUGAUCACCUUCAAUACACUGUUCCACUGAUACUGCUGUGUACAAUCUCUGCUUUCUUCUGCAGCCCCAAACUGAUUGUAGUGAGCCCAAGAACAUAAUAUUUAAAAUUCAAUUCAUAAGCCACUUAAUUGGUUAGGAAUUUAUCCAUUACUCAAAAUUUUUUCUAAACAGGAUUAUUCUUGGUCCACUGUUUUCUCUCUUAAGAAUAUGACUGGGGAAAAAUGAAAAGAAUCUGGUGCUUACCACAUUUAGUACAGUCUGAAAAGUGCUGGGAGUCGAAGCAGAAACAAAAAUUAUUAGAAAGUCAGACUAUGAGCACACCAAAAAUACAAAUACAAGAAUGCUAUUAAAUUGUACAAAGUUCUAAAAACACAUGCUCAAUGAAUGUGAGAAAUUUGCAUACAAGGAGCUGAAAGUUUGAAACAGAGUAAAGUAAUAAUAAAGCCUUGUGAAAGAAGAGCUUUUGGUUGAAGAUGGGACAUUGUGGCAACUGUCUACUUAUUGCCUCUUGGCUCUAAGUUCACCCUUGAUUGCCUGUCUUGAAAUAAUGGAGACAGGCUUUAUAAACAUUUUUUUUUUUUGGUCAACUGGACAAUGUUAAGGUUUGUCAGUGGAGGGUGUUGGACAAUGAAGAAUUUUUGUUUUGUUUUGUUUUGUUUGGUUGUUUUGUGUUUUCUGGCAUGGUUCUAUUACCAGCCUCCCGAGAGGUAGGGAAAAUGCCUUCUCCAACAUCAGGCUCUUGCAGUGCAUGGAGAGCCACAGCUGCCCCUGUAGUUCCUCUACAGCUUUACGUCAGAAUGACACUCAACCACAGCAUUCACUCUAUGGCUUUCUAACAAGAACCUAGAUAUAGCAUCUCUCUGUGGAUGGCUUCCACGGAAUCUCAGAGUUUUGCAUCACAGCACCUGAGCAACUUCCCCACCACCUAGUUAUCUAUGUCUGCACCUUCUCUAAUAAGGUCUUUAAGCCUUGGGUGGGGGCAGGACCCUCCUGCUUGGGCACUCUGUCUCAGACCUAGGAUUAGUGGUUGCUUCUUAUAUAUGCUAUUCUUGUAUUUCUUUUUACUUAUUACUAGCCAACUUCCCAUUAUUUCAAUUCCUAGUUAAAGUUAAUGAAUCUUUAUAUUAAACUUUCCCUGUCUAAAGUACGGUAUGCUUUGCUCCCUGAUUGGACUCUGACCAAUACAGGUGGCAAGAAAAUAGCUUCAUUGAAUCACUUCCAUAAGGUCUGUUUAUAGGAUAAAGCUUGAACCAUCUAGAAAAUUCUUAUGUGUUUAUUACCUUAUUUAGAUAUAAAAUUGUUACUUUUAUAAUUCCAGACAAGGACAUGUGGCUUAUCUGCUUUAUGAAAUCAUAUCUAUAUUUAUUCACAUCUUUCAAAUGGUUGAGGUGUUGUUACAAGGUAUCAAGGAAGAAAAUAGAGGGGUAGAAAGAUUGCAAACACUAACAUGUGUUUUAAAACAAAAACAAAUUUAUCAUCACACUUUUAUUACCAAUGAUUGGGGACUCCUAUUAACAAUCCAAGAUCUUCUGGUUUCUCUUCUGAUACCGCAGGGAGUUUGCCCUUUUUUUUUUUUUUUUUUUUUUUUUUUUUUCUAAUUUCUCAGUGCUUGCUGCCAUGUCAGGCUUGCUUGGGCUUAUUGGGUCCAUUUCUUUCAAGGUUGAGGCUAGAAAUGUGCAACUUUCUGGAAAAUAAACACAAACGUCAGCCUUCAGCCCAUUCUUCUGGAAAGCAAGGAUUUGUGAUAAUUGCUUGGAUAAUUGUGUGCACAGGAAAAGUUAGGUACUUUAUUUUUGCUAAAACAAAGCCAAAACCGCCACCUCUAGAUAUCCAAAUAUAGGAGUAUUUUGUAAUUUUUAGAGCAUUCAAACUAGAAUUUCCCUAUACCUAUCCACCUGGAUUUUCUUGUUGAGAUUUCGAUUCCCAAACUCUGUUACCUCACUGACUGUCCCAGUCUACUCCUGAGUUUGGAGUGUGGACUUCAUUAUUUGUCGCAUGCUUGAUGGAUUACUAGAGUUGCCUUCUUUUCCUCUUCAACCGUGAUUAACUUUGCCAACAGAAACAUUAGGUUGGUACAAAAGUAAUUGCGGUUUUUGCCAUUACUUUCAAUAGCAAAACCACAAUAAUUUUUGCACGAACAAGUAAUUCAUGGAGUUCUGGGUAGUGGUUAAAUACGCUAUUAUUACUUGUUCCUACUUACUCAUUUGAGCUCUUUUGAACUUUCUAUGUGAGUCCAUCAACAGACAAACAGAUGUCUUGCUUAGUUAUUGUGUAACAUGUGCACGCUGCUCUAGUUAAUUAUACGUAGUUUGAAAUUACAAUCCCAUUCAGUAUCUGCUUUGCCCUAAAUGUAUCCCAUGGCUGUGAAGCAGUUGUCUGCAAGAACAUCAGUGCUUGUAACUGGGUCCAAGGACAACCCCUGGAAGCAAUAUUGCAGGUUUACAUUUGAAAAAUAGCUCAUUUCUGAACAUGCCAAAUUCCUACCAUGAUUAAAAUCAUUUUCUUCAGUUCAUGACAAUGUGCAUACUGAGAAAAAGAAAAAAACUACCAAGUUACUAAUUGCAACUAGUUUGUACCAGCUGAUUUAAUCCCUGAAGGAUAAGACUAUUUGGUUUGAUUGUAGAGCAGGCAUAGUUUUGAACUAAUGUAACAAAUCCUGAUAUUGAUUUUGCUCACUAUCCCCAAAUAAUCACAGUUUUUAAAUAAUAUAGGGUCCUUAUAAGUUGGUAAAAACUGAUUUUCAUUUUGCAUUUUUAGCAGGAUUGUUUUAGAUGAUGACAGUUUAGAAAAGUUUUUUUAUUAUACUGUACAUAGCUUUUACUUUGUACUUAGUAUAUACAAUUUCUAAUACUCAAUUAUUCCCAAAUUUGCAAAUCCAAUAUCAGAAUAUUUUCUACAUUAUCUGUUUGGCUUUUUCAUGCUAUUCAAGAGCCAUCUUUUGAUGUUAUUCCAAAAACAUUUUAAAUCAGAAAUAAUGGUGACUAUAACACCUUUGGUCCCAAAGUGGGGAGGUAGAAGAUGGAAAUUAUUUCCAAAGAAACCAUUUACCAGCAAGGGUUUUUAUUGCGUGGAUUAAUUUCUGCACAGAUACACAUUUACAGCUAAAAUAAUUUAAAUGGAAUUUCAUUUGUACUUAAGUCUCUCAAAGAAUACUAAUCCUAUUCAUUACACCCGUAACAUUCCUUGAAAACCUUUUCCCUUCCCAAUUUCUAUGUCCUCUGUAGUUAUUCCUAAGGACCUUAAUUGUCAAAUUCUUAAAUUCUUCUUUCAGUUCAGCCUCAUCUGGCUUUUCUCUUUCUUUUCUUCACUGUUUUCCAUAUUUCCUUAUUUAGCAAGUAGGCUAAUAUAAAAAGUUUUACUAUGGGCAGGAGUUAGUAGAAAAGACGUGAAUAUUCAUUUUUGCCCUGUUGCAAAAUAAUUCACCAUUAUUUUAAGGAGUCUGUUUCUGUAAAUUAUUAUUAUGGUCAAAUAUGGUAACCUGCUUUUUGUCACUGAGUGUUAUGACCAAAGAAUCACACAUGAAUACGGAUUCUAAAAAAGAGUUGCAUGUAAAAAAAUCCCAACAUGUGAAGUGAAUAUUUUUACAAUGUGUAUCAUUAAAAUAUCUCCCAUCAUCACUUCAAAUUUUAAAUGCAUGUUUUUCUUGGUAUUCUGCUUUACAAGUCAGGAUUUUAAUUCAUCUGAGAAAUCUGAUCUGGAAAUUCUCACUAAUGCAAAUAUUAAACUGCUAGAUUUAGAAUAUGGUCAGUGGCAUAGGGCAUAUGUUUUUUGUUAAUUUACAAUUUUCCAGGAAAAAUAAUGAAAUCCUAGUUUAUAUGAUUUCUGUCUUAUCUUUGAGCAGCUCAGCUUUUCCAGUAAAAGAACACCAUAUAAUUAGAUUAAGUUUGUCUAAAGAUUCUCAUUAUGGGCUGAAAGUUUGUAUCCUCCCCAAAUUUAUAUGUUGAAUCCGUGUUCCCCAAUGUGAGGGUAUUUGGAAGUGAGGCCUUUGGGAGGUAAUUAGAUUUCAGUUAGAUCAUAAGGGCAGUGACUCCAUGCUGGGAUCUUCUCUGUAGGAAGAAGGUGGAAGACCAGAACUUGCUCUCUUUCCACUAUGUCAGGACACAGAAGACAGCUAUCUGCAAGCUCCAGGAAGAGGGCUCUCACCAGGAACUGAAUCAGCCUGUCCUUCUUGGGCUCCCCAGGCUCUAUACUAUGAGAAACAAAUGUUGUUGUUUUAGUCACCCAGUAUAUGACAUUUUGUUAUAGCAGCCCAAGCUAAGGACAAUUUUCUUUUGUGGUUGCACUAGUUAUAGUUUGCAGAUAUGAUUUACUUUUGUUCAACUUUCAAUAUUUAACAACAUCUUAAUUGAGGAGAUUGACGAGUUAUCCAGAUGCCAAAAUAUACACUUUAUAUUUAAAAAUUGGUCAUUAUCAUUUUAAUUACACUUUAAAUGCACAUUAUAAUAAAGCAUAAAACUCAGUUUAAUCACAUUAAAUACAUAUGUAUCUAUAUGUUAUAUAAUACCUGUAUACCUAUAAACACUAAUAU